GACGAACCGAGCGAACGUUGUUCGGAAUCACUGGGCUUAAAGGGCGCGUAGGCGGGUGCUCAAGUCCGGGGUGAAAUCCUCCAGCUCAACUGGAGAACUGCCUCGGAUACUGGGUGUCUCGAGGGUGGUAGGGGUAUGCGGAACUAUCGGUGGAGCGGUGAAAUGCGUUGAUAUCGAUAGGAACUCCGGUGGCGAAGGCGGCAUACUGGACCACAUCUGACGCUGAGGCACGAAGGUCAGGGGAGCAAACGGG
rnacentral:rRNA from 1 species